CCACGAACAAAAAAAGAAAAAGAAGGAAAAGCACUUUUAUCAGAGGCACUUCGAACACCACUGAAACAGGAGCAUGCAAACAGAGGAUGCAGUGUAGGAAAAUAAUGGCUAUGACUGUAGGAAUACACAGUGCAGCAGGUUAUAGGCAAAGGUGUAUCCAGGCCACCCAAGGGACGCCCCUGCAGUGUUACUGGGAGGCCGUGUAGAAUCCUGCCGGGAGGAGUGGAGCAGGACUGGGAGCCCCAGAGAAAGAACAGCAGUGAACCAUUUGGCUGAUAACAUCCCUCUAUAGUUGAACUUCUGCCACAUUUGUGGAUCCACAUUAAGGACAAAAGUAUAUGAGAAAUAGAGCCACUCAGAGCCUGUCUGCUACACACGAUUUCAGCAUGAGGGCAAAAAGCAUGGUGCCAAUGGCUAGUCUCUGCCGUUUACCUUUACCUCUUCCUUAAAAGGUGUCUGGUCUUUUGCAAUAGACUUAAGCAGGGGCAACCUUGUGUUCUCUACAUUGUGCCUUUUCCUGGGAUCCCAGAAAAACUACAUUUCCCAGUCUCCCUUGCAGUUAGUUUGGGGUCAUAUGACCCAGUUCUGUCCAGUGGAAUGAGAGGGGAAGUGAUGUCUAUCACUUUCAGGCCUGUGCUUCCUCUACCACCUUUUUGUUCUGCCACUGAAGCCCUGGAGUCCAGAUUUUCCAGACACCUUGACUAUAAGAUGGAGGAGAGCCACUUGCCCUGCAGUGACUUUGAGUGAAAAUAAAUAAACCUUUAUUGUGUUAAACCAUACAGAUUUGGUGGUUGUCGUAGCAGCUAGCUGAUAUUGAUUACCCUGUUAAAGGGAUGCCAAGACAUUGGUAUAUCUUAUCUUGCUUAAGAACAAUAGACAGUUGUCAGUCUAUUUCCUCUACUUCCCGAAAAAAAUCAACACCUGUUAAUAUCAUUGGGUUCCUGACUAGCUUAUGGACUGCUUGUGGGUAGGGAUGCUGUAAAGCUCCAUUUCAUACCCUUCUCUUUUUUUAUUAGGUUGGUGCAAAAGUAAUUGUAGUUUUACUUUUGACAAAAACCAGAAAACAAGAAAUAGUUUUGCACAAACCUAAUAGAAUAAUACCUGACAUAUUGAGGGUAUGCUGUAAAUGAGUCUACAGGGACAAAUGAAUGACUUGAUGAGUCAUAAUUUUGAUGUAUUUUCAUUGAACGCAGACUAAAAGUUUUUAAAGUAUUUGAAUGAUAAAUAUGUCUUAACUUGUUUUGCUAAAAAUUUAUAAGCAACUAAAAGGAGGGCUAAAAUCUCGUUUGUGCUAAUAACGUAAGUUUAUUUGGGUUUGAUUGUGUUUAAAAUUUUUCUUAUUGAUUACACACAGGGAGCUGUGAUCACUGGCCAUACUUCUGAUAAAUCUGAGACGUUCUGUGCUCAGCAAUGCUCAAAGUUCUGUUGGCACAAAUAUCUCCUUACUCUGUGGAGCCAAAGGAAACCAAUGAUGUUCCUGACUUCUACAUGAGUGCCUUUGAAAUGGGCUAACUUUAAUGAAUUUUAAAUAUGUUUCUUCUCUUUUAUAAUUCAAUUGGUGUUUGGAUUUAAAGUUAAUUAUCUAAUUUCCUAAAGUAACUCUUCUGUGCAUUCUUCUCUCUCUUGUUUUGAACACUCCAGAAGAUUGGUUAGCCCACAGUGUCUAAGUGGUCUGUAAGUUGGAAGAGCGUGAUGCAAAAUGGAAUUGGAGUGGCCCAAUCCCUCCUCCCAGUGACCUAAGCUGCUUGGAGGAGAUGAAGAAAUGCUUGCAACUCUUUUAAUUAACCAAAUAGCUAUUGGAAAGCCAUGUAUGCCACUGCCUGCCAGCAGCUAUCAUAGCUCAACCAUCUCAGGGUUUCCUUCACACAAACAAGACUGAUUAAAAGCAACCAACAUUAAAUAAUUGCCAUUGUCUU